GCGUCUCUAGCUUAAUGGUAAAGCUCCGCUCUGUGGCAGCGGCAAUACGGGUCCGAUUCCCGUGAGACGCC
rnacentral:tRNA from 1 species